GCUAAGUUAAAUUUUAGUUGAACUUCGCCGUAUGAAAUUUGAGAACACUGACAGACUGACAAAGGUUGAAAAUUUGCCAUUAUAUAUGAACAGUUUUUAUGCGGAGCAUUAAAAACGUAUUGAGAAUCAAACUUUAUAGCACACGCUUACAGACCACGGAAACAUUCGACGAAAACAUGUAACUUAUCCUGCGUGCAAGAAGGAGUUUAUAUCGAGGACUAUGUUUUGAAAGAAUUUGCCGUGUGAAAAGCGACACGCCGUUUAUAGACGUUAUUAAAUAAUAUCUUAGUAUCUUACGAUAUAAAGAGGUAUACAAACUAUUUUGGAUCCAACUUGGCUUUCAAAGACCUCUGAUCCAUGGAUGAUCCAUAAAGAAUUUUGGUAUUAUUAAAAGUACAGACGGUAGCGCUGAACAGGACACUUCACAACGACAGCGCCAUAUUUAGUCGAGGCUCAAGG
rnacentral:lncRNA from 1 species